AUGAAAUCGUUUGCGUAAAGAACUCCGAGAAAAGCGAUCAAAAAGAAAAGCCAAUUUGGCCUGAAAAUGAAGAUAUUUUCUCUAUGUUCCAUGGUUUUCUCCAUCUUGAUGAUAAUCUGUGCGAGUCAAGUCAACUCUUGGUGGACCGGGGGGAGACGAAGGCCGCCGCCUCAGCAAUCGUAUUAUUACGGGCAAAAGCAAGUUAGAGUCGGACAACGGCCAUGGGGUGCCGGAUACAGUGGAAUUAAACAAACUACAUUUAGACAGAGGUCCUAUCGUCCUUAUUACUGAAAGGUCGCAGCUGUGAGCUGAAUGCUGCAGCGGCCGUGGAUGCACCAGAAUCAAAAUAUAAAACGGUCAUGAAAUAUAUUUAGCAUAGAAUUUAAUCAUAAUAACAUCAUAU